CCAGAGACGGUGGCAACAAUGUUUCAAAUGUGCUCAGGCUAAUUAGUUUUGAAUUACCAUGUGCAUAUUUUAAACAUUUAAAUGAUCAUCCCAGGUUUUCCAAAACAGUUUCGCGCGGCUUGAUGUCGCCUCCCCACCCCCGGCGGCCUCUCCCCGAGACACAGCCGCCUGCUGCCCGGGACCCGCCAGGUGGAGCGUUUGGGUCCCGCGGCCUCCGCCGGGAGGGGCGCGCGCUAAACCCGGGUCUCAGGGCGGAAGAGGCCGCAGCCCCGAGUUCUGGCGCAGCCUCUCGCCCAGGACUUUCCCUCCCUAAAGCCUGUGCCAGGUUUUCAACACCCUCUGCUCAGAUUUUAAGUUUCCCAUUGUGCAUGAAAAUGCAAUUCCCAGGCGGGGCGCGGUGGUUCACGCCUGUAAUCCCAACACUUUGAGAGGCUGAAGCAGGUGGAUCACUUGAGGUAAGAAGUUCGAGACCAGCCUGACCAACAUGGCGAAAUCCCGUCUGUACUAAAAAUAGAAAAAUUAGCCGGGCGUGGUGGUGUGCGCCUGUAAUCCUAGCUUCUCUGGAGGCUGAGGUAGGAGAAUCGGUUGAACCCGGGAGGUGGAGGUUGCAGUGAGCCGAGAUUAUGCCACUGCACUCCAGCCUGGGUGACAGAGCGAGACUUUCUCUCAAAAAAAAAAAAAAAAAAAAGGAAAAAGAAAAUGCGAUUCCACGCGGGCGGGCAGCUUUGUCUCCCCCGUGUGAUUUCCUGAAGACCCAGAGGUCCUGGGAAGCUUGAAAGGGACCGGCCGGAUGGGAGCCGCGUUUGGUAUUUGAAGCCAGCGACCUUGUCCCCGGUCUCUUGGGGCAAACAGCCUUCCAGCAGUUCCAGCACCACCAUUCUCACCGGGGUUUGGCCCAGAAUGCAAACCACAGUUUCCAAAUUCCCUAAUUCCGGAAGCGCUGGGAGGGACAAAGGUUUCAGGCCUCGACCCCCCACGCCUUCCCAGGCGGCUGCAGGCGCUGAUGAUCCAGGCUCAGGCUUCCCACCCGGGCCUUGGCGGCGGCCCCAGCGGCCGGAGUGUGUCAAGUCAGCAGGUGGAGCUGGGAGAAUAAAAGCUCUGAGCCGGUGCCUGGGACCUUGGAGAGGAAGCUAUCUGUGCUGAAAUCCUGAUUGAAUGAAAAUUGUUCAUUAUGCAAACCGUCGGAUUCAGUAGACAGAGGCAGCCCCUAGGCACGAACCCCAAGUAUCUGCUUUUUCUCUCCCCAGAUUAAAACAUAUGAACUGCUUUGAUGUAAUCUUAUAACAAAGCCUAAUAGAAAUUUUAUUUCUUUGAA